rnacentral:rRNA from 1 species
AAACCAGGUGCUGUAAGCAU